UUGUAAAGUCUUGUUGUGGGUGAUGGUCUCGGUCAGGCAUGCUGCCAGCUGGGGAGGUGGGAAAGGAACACCCAUGGAGCUAGAGGCCAUUGUUCUCCGGGUUACCUGUCAAACAUGCGUGUGUCUCCUCUGGUGGUGGGAUACUAAAGGCGGAGAAACCAAGGUACAGAGAACUUACACAACCUGUUCAAGGAGCUCUCUGCUAUGGCCUGGAAAAGCAGUAAAAGAUGGCCCAAGUCCUUGGGCCCCUGUACCCUCAUGGGAGACCCAGAAGAAGCUCCCGGCUCCUGGUGUCGGAUCGGCUCAGUUCUGGCCAUUGCGGCCAUCUGGGGAGUGAACCAAUGGUUGGAAGAUCUUUCUCUCUUUCUCUCUCACUGUUUGUAACUCUACUUGUAAAAU